rnacentral:rRNA from 1 species
GACGAACGCUGGCGGCGUGCUUAACACAUGCAAGUCGAACGGAGGAUUUAUUUCGGUAAAUCCUUAGUGGCGAACGGGUGAGUAACGCGUGGGCAAUCUGCCCUUCAGAUGGGGACAACAUCCCGAAAGGGGUGCUAAUACCGAAUACGAUCGUUUUCCCGCGUGGGAUUACGAUGAAAGAUGGCCUCUAUUUAUAAGCUAUCGCUGAAGUAUGAGCCGGCGUCUGAUUAGCUAGUUGGUGGGGUAACGGCCUGCCAAGGCGAUGAUCAGUAGCCGGUCUGAGAGGAUGAACGGCCACAUUGGGACUGAGACACGGCCCAAACUCCUACGGGAGGCAGCAGUGGGGAAUAUUCCGCAAUGGACGAAAGUCUGACGGAGCAACGCCGCGUGAGUGAUGAAGGUUUUCGGACUGUAAAGCUCUGUUGUUUAGGACGAAAGUGCCUGUUGCAAAUAGUUACAGGUAUUGACGGUACUGAACAAGGAAGCCACGGCUAACUACGUGCCAGCCGCCGCCGUAA